rnacentral:rRNA from 1 species
GAUGAACGCUGGCGGCGUGCUUAACACAUGCAAGUCGAACGAUGAAGCCCAGCUUGCUGGGUGGAUUAGUGGCGAACGGGUGAGUAACACGUGAGUAACCUGCCCUUAACUCUGGGAUAAGCCUGGGAAACUGGGUCUAAUACCGGAUAGGAGCGUCCACCGCAUGGUGGGUGUUGGAAAGAUUUAUCGGUUUUGGAUGGACUCGCGGCCUAUCAGCUUGUUGGUGAGGUAAUGGCUCACCAAGGCGACGACGGGUAGCCGGCCUGAGAGGGUGACCGGCCACACUGGGACUGAGACACGGCCCAGACUCCCACGGGAGGCAGCAGUGGGGAAUAUUGCACAAUGGGCGCAAGCCUGAUGCAGCGACGCCGCGUGAGGGAUGACGGCCUUCGGGUUGUAAACCUCUUUCAGUAGGGAAGAAGCGAAAGUGACGGUACCUGCAGAAGAAGCACCGGCUAACUACGUG